rnacentral:rRNA from 1 species
GACAGAGGUGCCAAGCGUUAGGCGGAAUCACUGGGCUUAAAGCGUGUGUAGGCGGAUCGUUAAGUACCUUGUGAAAUCCCACGGCUCAACCGUGGAACUGCUGGGUAUACUGGCGAUCUUGAGCCACCUAGGGGCGAGCGGAACAAGCGGUGGAGCGGUGAAAUGCGUAGAUAUCGCUUGGAACGCCAAUGGUGAAAACAGCUCGCUGGGGGGUGUGCUGACGCUGAGACAGAAAGCCAGGGGAGCGAACGGG